ensembl:lncRNA
UAUUGCUACAAAUAUACCCCAGUGACUUAAGACUGGUUUUGUGCUCCAGGAUCACAUAUAUUAUAUAUAUUCAAAGUUGAUUAAAAAAUGUGGGUUCAGCAAAAACCUGACAGUAAAGACAUUUAAAAUGUUACAAAAGUUUGUGAUUUUAAAUAAAUGCUAUUCUUUUGAACUUUAUAUGCAUCAAAGAAUCCUGAAAAAAAAAUUAUCACCUAUUUUUUUAUAAAAAUAUUAAGCAUCACAACUGUUUUUUAACAUUGAUAAUAAUACCAAAUAUUUCUUGAACACCAAAUAAGCAUAUAAGAAUGAUUUCUUAAGGAUCACGUGACACAGAACACUGGAAAUUCAGUGAUGACAUCACAGAAAUAAGCUACAUUUUAAAGUAUAUUAAAAUAGAAAACAGUUAUUUUUAAUUGUAAUAAUAUUUCACAAUAUUACUGUUUCUACUGAAUUUACGAUCAAAUAAAUGCAGCCUUGGUCAACAAGAGACUUAAUAUAUAUAUAUAUAUAUACAUAUUAAAAAGUCUUCACUACCCCAAAACUUUAUAAUAGUUAUAUAAUAAUAAUAACAACUAUAUAAUAAUAGCUGUUAAUAUAAAAAUGUGCUUUUUGUAGCCAUAAGGUUUAGUUUUGGGGACCAGUGGGACAUACUAACCAGACAAACCUUGAACUCUUGGUUACAAUAAACAGUGUAGUGGUCAUAUUAUGCCUGAAAUGUCAGUUACUUAACUUAUAUAUUUAUAGAAUUGUUGUAGGGAAAGAAAUAUCACACGAGCAAGAGCACUGUUGUCCUGUAAACCAACGUUUAAAUGAAUCACGCAUGUUCAAACCCCACAAUGGGGAGAUCUAUGAACAGAAAGCAUUGUGCUCUUGAUCAAAGCACUCCACCUCAGGUUACUCCAGAGGGACUGACCCUGUAAUAAGGUUAGGUACUGCAAGUCAGUUUGGAUCAAAGCGUCAGCUAAAUUACAAAAUGUAACAUGCCAGUGACUACAAUCUGCACUCAGUUUUAAGAAUUUAUUUGAUUGCUGCAUUACUCCAUUGUGUUCCUGUGGGCCUUAAGUGUUGUUACCCAAAGGAGAGCUCUUAAUAACACAGAAAAUCUACUGAAACAAUGAAUCCCAUAAUGCACUGAACGCAUUCCACACUCCAUCAGUCUUUUGACCACCGUGGCUCGAAUCCAACGCAGCUUCACAGU